UGGGGUAUAGCCAAGUUGGUAAGGCAACGGGUUUUGAUCCCGUCAUCCGUAGGUUCGAGUCCUGCUACCCCAGCCA
rnacentral:tRNA from 1 species